UUAAUUGCUUAUAAUUAUUUUUAGUUUUGUAUAAUAUAUAAAUUAUUCAAUUAUGUCAUCAUCGGUUUGAUUAUGGUUGAACCAUUGGGCCAACCAGUGAAUCGUGAAUUGGUAAGUUUUUCUGUUCAAUGAUCGAUCUGGUUCUAAAAACGUUAGUUAUGUGUUCGAAUCUCAUUUCAUGUCUAUUUCCCCACUUUAUUAAGCCCGCAUGUAACCCCAAAAAGAGGCUAUUUGUGGAGGUUAUUGGAGUGCUUGAUAUACAUUAUGAGUCAAAAUCUUACAAGUUUAGCCUUUUAGGAAAAUUGGUUUUUAACAACUAUCAAUUGAUGCCUCCUCAUAUUGGUUGGAACAGUAAAUACAUUUAGAGCUUCAAUCUUUCUUCUUUGCCUUACUAAAAUUCCAUGUAGGGUCAUUCUCUAUGUUCCUUCCCAUUUGACGUCCAUAUAUUAUUGUGAUGUUCUUGUUAAAUGAUAAAAAUUUGAAUUUUCUUAAAACUAUCAAAUAUAGUCAAAUGUGUUCAUAUUGCACAAAUCGUGUAUCAUACUUUUUGAAGUGGACACAGGAUAGAGAAGGUUUUGUUCAGGUUGAGACCAAAUUUUUUUUGCUUGAAGUGGAAGAAGUGAAGAGUUGUGUUGUCGGGGUGAUUGUUGAAAGACAGAAAGGGUAUUUGAGGUGGAUCAACAAGAGAAAUUAAGGGUUGGGUUGGUUAUUAAAAUGUUUGGACAAGUGCUGUAUGUGGACACAGAGAAGGAUUUCUUUGGAGGUGAAAAAGAAUUUGGCUGGUAGGAUCCUGCUGCUCUCUGUGUUUUCCAAGGAUGCAAGAUGUCUCUUCAUUACUCUGGGAAAGAUUUUGAUUUGUCUGGGUGGGCUGUCAUAGAUGUUAAGGCCUCAAACCUGGGUUUCCAUGAAUCAUUUGGAAACAGUGUUGGGUCAAGGUACUGUUCCUAGGCAUGAGGUGAAGAUUGGGUUUGUGACAACUUAGUUGGGAAAAUCUGUGUCAAUGCAGCUUCCCUGAAGAUCUUGUUGGACAUCCUAGCCACACUAAAGAGGAUUGAAUCUUUGAGGGGGUGUUUGGUGGGACUCUGAUAAAUCUCAACACCCUGUCCUUGUUGAUGGUCCUCUGUAAGCCCAAAAAUCCUUUUGUGCUAAUGGAAGGAAUGUGGAACUGAAGGAUUUUUAAAUGAAUGAAGCUAUUGAACCUGAAGCAGGAACAUUUUUUUCCUGAAAUCCUUAUGUGGGUGGUUGAAAGCCUUCUUGAAGGGUGGACGACUUUCUUUACCUUAUUUUACUCAUCGGUGCAGGAGGAAGAAAAUAUGAAGUUUACUCGUUAUGGAGAGGGUUUUAGUCCAUGCCAGUUGGAGCACCCAUUCCGGUGACUAUCACUGCUUUGUUCGCACUUCUACUGGCAUGUGGUACUCCCUCGAUGACAGUCGGGUUGUCCAGGUUAGUGAGAGAACUGUUUUGGAUCAGAAGGCCUACAUGUUGUUUUAUGUUCAGAAACAGAACUUGGUUGCAAGUUCCAUAGCAAAGAAAACAUGUUCCAGUGUAAGUCAAGAUCUAUAGGAAACCAUUCAAAGUGGACCACUUGGGAAAAGUUUAAGUGCUGCUGAUGCUUCUGCUGCUGUAACUCAAAAUGAUGUAUCAAAUGUUGGCUUGCCAAAGGAGAUUCUAUCAAGAGAAGCGUCAGCUCCAAAAAGUAGCAGGUUCUCAUCUGACUGCUUGGCAUUGACAAAUGGUCCCAUGUCUGAACCUUCACCCAAUGUAGCAUUAUCAAAACACUGGGUGAUGGGGCUUCCCACUCUGAACCCUACUCUGGAGAAAUCCAUGCCACCAUCAGCUCCAUCUGUUAAGGGAAGUAGUAUCUCUAAUCUUGACAGUGCUGUUGCAGCAUCAACUGGUGCCAAAUUUAAUGGGUGCAGUGAGGAUUAAAUUUCUAAGAAAUAUCAGGGCGUCUUAGAUGUCAUACAAGCGAACUGCAUCAUUUCCCAAAUUCUGCUGCUGAUAAGCCUGACUCAGAGAAGACCUCUCCAAAGGUUGGUAUUAUUUCAAAUGCAGAUGGAACAUUGGAGAAAAUAGAACCUGUUAAGUUGCCAAAUGGUCCAAGUGGUUGGAAGUUAUACCCAAAGGGAGUGCUGCUGGUGAUUCACUUAUUGAAAAGGCUGAUGAUGGUGGCUAAAAAUUAUCAACCAAGUUGAUAGAAUUUUCAAGCCCGUCAAGCAUUGUGAAUAGAUCUAUUCACAUGAAAACUCUUGAUUGCAAGCCUCACAGAAAAUUAAAAAAGAAGCAUGUCAAGUGUUGGAUGAGAAGCAUGCAUCUUGUUUCAAACACUCUCUUCCAAGCAUCCUUGAGCUUGCGAAAGAAGAAGAAGCACUAGAGCAAACGGCACACUUCUGACAUCAAGAAUCUCACUGAAGAACACUUACUGGAAGCAGGUUGUUUAUCUAUUGUUCAGGGCCCAUCCACAUUUGAUAAAACCCAGACAAUUUCUGUGGGUCCAACUAAUCCUUGGGGAAAAAGGGUUAAGCAUGGUACCAAAAAGGGAGAUAAAAGAACUGCCGUGAAGGAUGUGGAGUUCAAAGACAGAAUUGGUCAGGAGUAUGCAGAAUGGACUAAUGAGUAUGCUUACCAGAGGUCUAGACGAGACAAAUGGAUUAGCCUUGAGGAACGGGCAUGGCUACCACAAAAUUGAGAAGAAAGGUGAAGUCUUGAAAGGAACAAUUGAAGUCUUGAAGAUUAAGAAGGUGAGACUCAGCGUUGGGAAACAAGAAAGGAGCAAGUUUGCAUCUUUUUUAAGAGGAGUUGCUCGGUGGGAUGAUAUAGAAUGGCCUUCAACCCAGGUUAUGGAAUCAAGAAGCGUGGAGGGUGCAAUCACUGGUUAUGAACCAGAUGAAUGGGAUGAAGAAUAUGAUCGGGGGAAGAGGAAGAAAGUAAGUGAUAUAAAGAAAUGAAGCGUACCUAAAUGGGUGAGCAAGCUUGACUUGUUACCCUGCUGCUAUACGUCAUGUUUGAGGACUUUUAGCUGAAAGAGCUACUUUGUUGUUAAGGAAGUGUGCCAAUCUCAACUCCUUUGAAAUGUAAUAUCUUUGCCCAAUGCCCCCCUGUUGGUUGGCUUAAAAGUUAUCAUAUUAUAUUGUAAGUGUAAUGACAAUAAUAAAAUAGAAAUAGUGAGAUGGUUGUCACACAUGGAAAGCUGAUCUCAGUCUUCUUCCCUUCUUUUUAUGAUAGUAACCUUCUCUUUU